AUGAUGUGUCUCCAUCCCACUGAGUCCUUUGGGGAAAUCGUCCUGACUCAGUCUCCAGGAUCUCAGUCUGUUUCUCCAGGACAAUCUGUUACUCUCACCUGUACAGCCAGUCAGAGUGUUGGCGGUGCCCUCGCCUGGUACCUGCAGAAACCUGGAGAAGCUCCUAAACUCCUGAUCUAUGCUGCAUCUACUCGUCAGUCUGGGAUUCCAGGUCGUUUCAGUGGCAGUGGAUCUGGUUCACAAUUUAAUCUAAAAAUCUCUGGAGUUCAGUCUGAAGAUGCAGGAGAUUAUAACUGUCAACAGUAUAGCAGCUAUCUGUACACACAGUGUUAUAGCGCCGUACAAAAACCUCCCUCAGCUGUAGAGGAAGUGUUCUGA